UGGAUUUUGGGGACAAAAUGGUAUUUUCAUCAAGAAGAUGUUGAGAAAGAGAAUAAGAAGAUGAAGUAGGGAAGUUGAGAUUGGCUCGAGGGCCUUUGAGACACAAGAGUGCAACAUCAUAAGCCCUAGCUGCUGCCUCAGCUGUUGAGUAAGAGCCUAACCAAAUCCUUGUCUUUUGAUUUGGUGCCCUAAUCUCAGAAACCCAUGAUCCCCAACUUCUCAUCCUCACUCCUUUGUACUUCUUAAUCUUACUCUUCUUGUUCUUGUUCUUGAUCUUAGGGGAAGAGGAAGAUAAUGAUGAAGAACGAUAUGGUGAAGACAGAGACAUUUCUUUCUUGCUGCUGGUUUGAAUCUUGGGUUCUUGUUUCACCAUGGUACUUAAUG
rnacentral:lncRNA from 1 species